rnacentral:sRNA from 1 species
CGGCAACUCAAGCUCAUUAAUUUAACUUACCCAAAAAGGAAACCAAGUGGGUGUGGAAAAUUCAGGCCAAACAAUGCCGAGAUAGAGGGACCGGGAAAACAGGAUGUGCGGCCAGGUACGAGGAGGCAACAAGGAGAAAACCACCAAGAAAAAGUAGCACGGAAGCGGAUUUUCAUUCAAGUUGCCAGGCAGGAGGAGAACUGGGGGACGCUUUCUCCAUCUCGGCCCACAUUUUCUCCUUGGUAAUGAUUCAGCAUUAAAUUUCGGGUGACUGAAGAAAGGCAAGAAACAACAAAAUCAGCAGCAACAGCAACAGCAACA